rnacentral:rRNA from 1 species
AGUGAACGCUGGCGGCAGGCCUAACACAUGCAAGUCGAGCGGCAGCGCGGGGGCAACCCUGGCGGCGAGCGGCGGACGGGUGAGGAAUACAUCGGAAUCUACCCAGUCGUGGGGGAUAACGUAGGGAAACUUACGCUAAUACCGCAUACGACCUGAGGGUGAAAGCAGGGGACCGCAAGGCCUUGCGCGAUUGGAUGAGCCGAUGUCCGAUUAGCUAGGUGGUGAGGUAAGAGCUCACCAAGGCGACGAUCGGUAGCUGGUCUGAGAGGAUGAUCAGCCACACUGGAACUGAGACACGGUCCAGACUCCUACGGGAGGCAGCAGUGGGGAAUAUUGGACAAUGGGCGCAAGCCUGAUCCAGCCAUGCCGCGUGUGUGAAGAAGGCCUUCGGGUUGUAAAGCACUUUUGUCCGGAAAGAAAUCCUGUCGGUUAAUACCUGGCGGGGAUGACGGUACCGGAAGAAUAAGCACCGGCUAACUUCGUGCCAGCAGCCGCAGUAAAAC